rnacentral:rRNA from 1 species
AUGCACGCUGGCGGCGUGCCUAAUACAUGCCAGUCGAGCGAACAGACGAGGAGCUUGCUCCUCUGACGUUAGCGGCGGACGGGUGAGUAACACGUGGAUAACCUACCUAUAAGACUGGGAUAACUUCGGGAAACCGGAGCUAAUACCGGAUAAUAUAUUGAACCGCAUGGUUCAAUAGUGAAAGACGGUUUUGCUGUCACUUAUAGAUGGAUCCGCGCCGCAUUAGCUAGUUGGUAAGGUAACGGCUUACCAAGGCAACGAUGCGUAGCCGACCUGAGAGGGUGAUCGGCCACACUGGAACUGAGACACGGUCCAGACUCCUACGGGAGGCAGCAGUAGGGAAGCUUCCGCAAUGGGCGAAAGCCUGACGGAGCAACGCCGCGUGAGUGAUGAAGGUCUUCGGAUCGUAAAACUCUGUUAUUAGGGAAGAACAAAUGUGUAAGUAACUAUGCACGUCUUGACGGUACCUAAUCAGAAAGCCACGGCUAACUACGUG